rnacentral:rRNA from 1 species
UGGAAAGGCGUGCGAUACAGGGUGACAGCCCCGUACACAAAAAUGCACAUAUUGUGAGCUUGAUGAGUAGGGCGGGACACGUGGUAUCCUGUCUGAAUAUGGGGGGACCAUCCUCCAAGGCUAAAUACUCCUGACUGACCGAUAGUGAACCAGUACCGUGAGGGAAAGGCGAAAAGAACCCCGGCGAGGGGAGUGAAAAAGAACCUGAAACCGUGUACGUACAAGCAGUGGGAGCACGCUUAGGCGUGUGACUGCGUACCUUUUGUAUAAUGGGUCAGCGACUUAUAUUCUGUAGCAAGGUUAACCGAAUAGGGGAGCCGAAGGGAAACCGAGUCUUAACUGGGCGUUAAGUUGCAGGGUAUAGACCCGAAACCCGGUGAUCUAGCCAUGGGCAGGUUGAAGGUUGGGUAACACUAACUGGAGGACCGAACCGACUAAUGUUGAAAAAUUAGCGGAUGACUUGUGGCUGGGGGUGAAAGGCCAAUCAAACCGGGAGAUAGCUGGUUCUCCCCGAAAGCUAUUUAGGUAGCGCCUCGUGAAUUCAUCUCCGGGGGUAGAGCACUGUUUCGGCAAGGGGGUCAUCCCGACUUACCAACCCGAUGCAAACUGCGAAUACCGGAGAAUGUUAUCACGGGAGACACACGGCGGGUGCUAACGUCCGUCGUGAAGAGGGAAACAACCCAGACCGCCAGCUAAGGUCCCAAAGUCAUGGUUAAGUGGGAAACGAUGUGGGAAGGCCCAGACAGCCAGGAUGUUGGCUUAGAAGCAGCCAUCAUUUAAAGAAAGCGUAAUAGCUCACUGGUCGAGUCGGCCUGCGCGGAAGAUGUAACGGGGCUAAACCAUGCACCGAAGCUGCGGCAGCGACGCUUAUGCGUUGUUGGGUAGGGGAGCGUUCUGUAAGCCUGCGAAGGUGUGCUGUGAGGCAUGCUGGAGGUAUCAGAAGUGCGAAUGCUGACAUAAGUAACGAUAAAGCGGGUGAAAAGCCCGCUCGCCGGAAGACCAAGGGUUCCUGUCCAACGUUAAUCGGGGCAGGGUGAGUCGACCCCUAAGGCGAGGCCGAAAGGCGUAGUCGAUGGGAAACAGGUUAAUAUUCCUGUACUUGGUGUUACUGCGAAGGGGGGACGGAGAAGGCUAUGUUGGCCGGGCGACGGUUGUCCCGGUUUAAGCGUGUAGGCUGGUUUUCCAGGCAAAUCCGGAAAAUCAAGGCUGAGGCGUGAUGACGAGGCACUACGGUGCUGAAGCAACAAAUGCCCUGCUUCCAGGAAAAGCCUCUAAGCAUCAGGUAACAUCAAAUCGUACCCCAAACCGACACAGGUGGUCAGGUAGAGAAUACCAAGGCGCUUGAGAGAACUCGGGUGAAGGAACUAGGCAAAAUGGUGCCGUAACUUCGGGAGAAGGCACGCUGAUAUGUAGGUGAAGUCCCUUGCGGAUGGAGCUGAAAUCAGUCGAAGAUACCAGCUGGCUGCAACUGUUUAUUAAAAACACAGCACUGUGCAAACACGAAAGUGGACGUAUACGGUGUGACGCCUGCCCGGUGCCGGAAGGUUAAUUGAUGGGGUCAGCGCAAGCGAAGCUCUUGAUCGAAGCCCCGGUAAACGGCGGCCGUAACUAUAACGGUCCUAAGGUAGCGAAAUUCCUUGUCGGGUAAGUUCCGACCUGCACGAAUGGCGUAAUGAUGGCCAGGCUGUCUCCACCCGAGACUCAGUGAAAUUGAACUCGCUGUGAAGAUGCAGUGUACCCGCGGCAAGACGGAAAGACCCCGUGAACCUUUACUAUAGCUUGACACUGAACAUUGAGCCUUGAUGUGUAGGAUAGGUGGGAGGCUUUGAAGUG